rnacentral:tRNA from 2 species
GCCCCUAUAGCUCAAUCGGAUAGAGCAACCUCGUCCUAAGGGGUAGGUUCUGCGUUCGAGUCGCAGUAGGGGCG